rnacentral:rRNA from 1 species
AACGAACGCUGGCGGCAUGCCUAACACAUGCAAGUCGAACGGGAUCCUAGCUUGCUAGGUGAGAGUGGCGGACGGGUGAGUAACACGUGGGAAUCUGCCUUUUGGUUCGGGAUAACCGCGGGAAACUGCGGCUAAUACCGAAUGCCCUCGAGAGAGGAAAGAUUUAUCGCCAGAAGAGGAGCCCGCGUCCGAUUAGGUAGUUGGUGGGGUAAAAGGCCUACCAAGCCGACGAUCGGUAGCUGGUCUGAGAGGAUGAUCAGCCACACUGGGACUGAGAUACGGCCCAGACUCCUACGGGAGGCAGCAGUGGGGAAUAUUGGACAAUGGGGGCAACCUGAUCCAGCAAUGCCGCGUGAGUGAUGAAGGCCUUAGGGGUUAGUAAAGGCUCUUUUGCCAGGAAGAUGAUGACUGUACCUGGAGAAUAAGCCCCGGCUAACUUCGUGCCAGGCAGCCACGGUAAU